rnacentral:rRNA from 1 species
UACGUAGGGGGCAAGCGUUGUCCGGAAUUAUUGGGCGUAAAGAGCGCGUAGGCGGUCCGGUAAGUCAGGUGUGAAAGCCCCGGGCUCAACCUGGGAAUUGCAUUUGAGACUGCAUAGCUAGGGUGCGGAAGAGGGAAGCGGAAUUUCCGGUGUAGCGGUGAAAUGCGUAGAUAUCGGAAGGAACAUCAGUGGCGAAAGCGGCUUCCUGGUCCAGCACCGACGUUCAGGCACGAAAGCGUGGGGAGCAAACAGG